rnacentral:rRNA from 1 species
UACGUAGGGUGCAAGCGUUGUUCGGAAUCACUGGGCGUAAAGGGCGUGUAGGCGGUCUGUUAAGUCUGAUGUGAAAGCCCGGGGCUCACCCCCGGAAGUGCAUUGGAUACUGGCGGACUCGAGUCUCGGAGAGGAGGGUGGAAUUCCUGGUGUAGCGGUGAAAUGCGUAGAUAUCAGGAGGAACACCGGUGGCGAAGGCGGCCCUCUGGACGAUGACUGACGCUGAGACGCGAAAGCGUGGGGAGCAAACAGG